ACCUGGGAUAGCUCAGCCAGUAGAGCACGAGACUCUUAAUCUCAGGUUUGUGGGUUUGAGCUCCGUGUUGGGCA